AUCUAUAGCCAUGCCACCCUGAACUAGCCCGAUCCUGUCUGAUCUCAGAAGCUAAGUGGGGUCGGGCCUGGUUAGUACUUGGAUGGGAGACCACUUAGGAAAACCAGGUGCUGUAGGCA
rnacentral:rRNA from 1 species